rnacentral:rRNA from 1 species
GACGAACGCUGGCGGCGUGCUUAACACAUGCAAGUCGAACGGAAAGGCCCUGCUUUUGUGGGGUGCUCGAGUGGCGAACGGGUGAGUAACACGUGAGUAACCUGCCCUUGACUUUGGGAUAACUUCAGGAAACUGGGGCUAAUACCGGAUAGGAGCUCCUGCUGCAUGGUGGGGGUUGGAAAGUUUCGGCGGUUGGGGAUGGGCUCGCGGCUUAUCAGCUUGUUGGUGGGGUAGUGGCUUACCAAGGCUUUGACGGGUAGCCGGCCUGAGAGGGUGACCGGCCACAUUGGGACUGAGAUACGGCCCAGACUCCUACGGGAGGCAGCAGUGGGGAAUAUUGCACAAAGGGCGGAAGCCUGAUGCAGCAACGCCGCGUGCGGGAUGACGGCCUUCGGGUUGUAAACCGCUUUCGCCUGUGACGAAGCGUGAGUGACGGUAAUGGGUAAAGAAGCACCGGCUAACUACGUG